AAUGUCGGCCGUAACUAUAACGGUCCUAAGGUAGCGAAAUUCCUUGUCGGGUAAGUUCCGACCUGCACGAAUGGUGUAACGAUCUGGGCACUGUCUCAGCCAUGAGCUCGGUGAAAUUGUAGUAUCGGUGAAGAUGCCGAUUACCCGCAACGGGACGGAAAGACCCCGUGAACCUUUACUAUAGCUUCACAGUGGACUUUGAAUUUAUUUGUGUAGGAUAGGUGGGAGACUUUGAAAUGUUGGCGCCAGCUGGCAUGGAGUCGUCCUUGAAAUACCACCCUGGUAACGUUGAGGUUCUAACUUAGACCCCUGAUCGGGGUUGAGGACAGUGUGUGGUGGGUAGUUUGACUGGGGCGGUCUCCUCCCAAAGAGUAACGGAGGAGUGCGAAGGUAACCUCAGCGCGGUCGGAAAUCGCGCUUUUGAGUGCAUAGGCAUAAGGUUGCUUGACUGCGAGACAGACACGUCGAGCAGGUACGAAAGUAGGUCUAAGUGAUCCGGUGGUUCUGUAUGGAAGGGCCAUCGCUCAACGGAUAAAAGGUACUCCGGGGAUAACAGGCUGAUACCGCCC
rnacentral:rRNA from 14 species